rnacentral:rRNA from 1 species
CGGCACGCCUUAUACAUGCAAGUCGAACGAAGUAGCAAUACUUAGUGGCAGACGGGUGAGUAACAUGUAGGUAUCUUCCCUUUGGUGAGGAAUAACACGAGGAAACUUGUGCUAAUACCUCAUAAGUCUUUACGGAGAAAGCUUUAUGCGCCGAAGGAUGAGCCUGCACUUGAUUAGUUUGUUGGUGGGGUAAUGGCCUACCAAGACUUUGAUCUAUAGCUGAUCUGAGAGGAUGAUCAGCCACAUUGGGACUGAGACACGGCCCAAACUCGUACGGGAGGCAGCAGUAGGGAAUAUUGCACAAUGGAGGAAACUCUGAUGCAGCGAUGCCGCGUGAGUGAAGAAGGCCUUUGGGUGUAAAGCUCUUUCGUCGGGGAAGAAAAUGACUGUACCCGAAUAAGAAGGUCCGGCUAA